CCUACGGGGGGCAGCAGUGAGGAAUAUUGGUCAAUGGGCUUACGCCUGAACCAGCCAAGUCGCGUGAGGGAUGAAGGUUCUAUGGAUCGUAAACCUCUUUUAUAAGGGAAUAAAGUGCGGGACGUGUCCCGUUUUGUAUGUACCUUAUGAAUAAGGAUCGGCUAACUCCGUGCCAGCAGCCGCGGUAAUACGGAGGAUCCGAGCGUUAUCCGGAUUUAUUGGGUUUAAAGGGUGCGUAGGCGGAAUGCCAAGUCAGCGGUAAAAUCGCGGGGCUCAACCUCGCUCCGCCGUUGAAACUGGCGUUCUUGAGGGGGCGAGAAGUAUGCGGAAUGCGGGGGGUAGCGGUGAAAUGCAUAGAUAUAAGGAAGAACACCAGUGGCGAAGGCGGAUUACUGGACGAUAACUGACGGUGAGGCGCGAAAGCGUGGGGAGCAAACAGGAUUAGAUACCCUGGUAGUC
rnacentral:rRNA from 1 species